rnacentral:rRNA from 1 species
CCUACGGGGUGCUGCAGUGGGGAAUAUUGCACAAUGGGGGAAACCCUGAUGCAGCAACGCCGCGUGAGUGAAGAAGGUUUUCGGAUUGUAAAGCUCUGUUAGCGGGGAAGAGGAAGGACGGUACCUGCAGAGGAAGCCCCGGCUAACUACGUGCCAGCAGCCGCGGUAAUACGUAGGUGGCAAGCGUUGUUCGGAAUAACUGGGCGUAAAGGAUGCGUAGACGGUUAAACAAGCUAUAUGUUAAAGCUAUAGGCUUAACCUGUGGAAAGCAUAGAAAACUGUUUAACUAGAGUGCAGGAGAGGUAAGGGGAAUUCCUAGUGUAGCGGUGAAAUGCGUAGAGAUUAGGAAGAACACCAGUGGCGAAGGCGACUUACUGGACUGUAACUGACGCUGAGGCACGAGAGCAUGGGGAGCAAACAGGAUUAGAUACCCCGGUAGUC